rnacentral:misc_RNA from 1 species
AGUCGUAACAAGUCCAGGUGAACCUGCGGAAGGAUCAUUAACCAACGUUAAACCCCCCUGUGAACCUUCAUUGUGCUCCCUCGCUUUGUUAGAAAGUGGCAAUCAGGUAAAUCAUCGCCGAACAGUUUUGAUGCAGGGACUUCUGCGAAGAGGCAAUGGACCUGGCAUUCCUCUGCUUGUUGGUGUCUGAAAGUGUCACUAACUGUACGAAUGGCGCAGUCACGUUCGCUGGAGGCCACGGCCGGGUCACUGAGCUCUGCUCCCUAAUAACUUUUGCAUGCAAACGGGCCUGCGCUUAAUUGUGGCCACCAAACUCGAACAACUGUUAACAAAUGGAUAUCUGGGUUCUC